AGGGUUUGAUCCUGGCUCAGAACGAACGCUGGCGGCAGGCCUAACACAUGCAAGUCGAGCGCAGUCCUUCGGGACCGAGCGGCGGACGGGUUAGUAACGCGUGGGAAUAUGCCCUUCACUACGGAAUAGCCUCGGGAAACUGAGAGUAAUACCGUAUACGCCCUUCGGGGGAAAGAUUUAUCGGUGAAGGAUUAGCCCGCGUAAGAUUAGAUAGUUGGUGGGGUAAUGGCCUACCAAGUCUACGAUCUUUAGCUGGUUUUAGAGGAUGAUCAGCAACACUGGGACUGAGACACGGCCCAGACUCCUACGGGAGGCAGCAGUGGGGAAUCUUGGACAAUGGGCGCAAGCCUGAUCCAGCCAUGCCGCGUGUGUGAUGAAGGCCUUAGGGUCGUAAAGCACUUUCGCCAGAGAUGAUAAUGACAGUAUCUGGUAAAGAAACCCCGGCUAACUCCGUGCCAGCAGCCGCGGUAAUACGGAGGGGGUUAGCGUUGUUCGGAAUUACUGGGCGUAAAGCGCACGUAGGCGGAUUAGUCAGUCAGAGGUGAAAUCCCAGGGCUCAACCCUGGAAUUGCCUUUGAUACUGCUAGUCUUGAGUUCGAGAGAGGUGAGUGGAAUUCCGAGUGUAGAGGUGAAAUUCGUAGAUAUUCGGAGGAACACCAGUGGCGAAGGCGGCUCACUGGCUCGAUACUGACGCUGAGGUGCGAAAGUGUGGGGAGCAAACAGGAUUAGAUACCCUGGUAGUCCACACCGUAAACGAUGAAUGCCAGUCGUCGGGUAGUAUACUAUUCGGUGACACACCUAACGGAUUAAGCAUUCCGCCUGGGGAGUACGGUCGCAAGAUUAAAACUCAAAUGAAUUGACGGAAUCACUAGUGA
rnacentral:rRNA from 1 species